CAAAAAAUAGUUUAGUAAAAAUACUAGUUUUGGGGACUAGAGAGGGGGGCCCGAGUCUCCUUUUUUGA
rnacentral:tRNA from 1 species